rnacentral:rRNA from 1 species
GAGUCAACAUAGCAAUAUGUGGCAUACGGCUCAGUAACACGUAGUCAGCAUGCCCAGGGGACGUGGAUAACCUCGGGAAACUGAGGAUAAACCGCGAUAAGUCACUACUUCUGGAAUGGGUAAUGACUUAAAUCUAUAUGGCCCCUGGAUUGGACUGCGGCCGAUCAGGCUGUUGGUGAGGUAAUGGCCCACCAAACCUGUAACCGGUACGGGCUCUGAGAGGAGGAGCCCGGAGAUGGGCACUGAGACAAGGGCCCAGGCCCUAUGGGGCGCAGCAGGCGCGAAACCUCUGCAAUAGGCGAAAGCCCGACAGGGUUACUCUGAGUGAUUUCCGUUAAGGAGAUCUUUUGGCACCUCUAAAAAUGGUGCAGAAUAAGGGGUGGGCAAGUCUGGUGUCAGCCGCCGCGGUAAUACCAGCACCCCGAGUGGUCGGGACGUUUAUUGGGCCUAAAGCAUCCGUAGCCGGUUCUGCAAGUCUUCCGUUAAAUCCACCUGCUUAACAGAUGGGCCGCGGAAGAUACUAUAGAGCUAGGAGGCGGGAGAGGCAAGCGGUACUCGAUGGGUAGGGGUAAAAUCCGUUGAUCCAUUGAAGACCACCAGUGGCGAAGGCGGCUUGCCAGAACGCGCUCGACGGUGAGGGAUGAAAGCUGGGGGAGCAAACCGGAUUAGAUACCCGGGUAGUCCCAGCUGUAAACGAUGCAGACUCGGUGAUGAAUUGGCUUUAUGCCUAUUCAGUGCCGCAGGGAAGCCGUUAAGUUUGCCGCCUGGGGAGUACGGUCGCAAGACUGAA